UGCCGAGAUGCACCUAGCAAUUAAAACGAAAAUAAGAAAACUAACGAAGGAGUCGAAACUAUCAGAGGAAGCCAAAAGAACUCUAGGACAUGCUACCUCCCAAGCUUUAAGGACAUCGAACAACAACCUUAAUCACAACCAAAGCUAACGAACAGACGUACCUACGUACACGAACAAACGAACAACCGACCCUAUCUUCAGGGAAAUAAUCGAACUACGUUAUGACUUGAUCCCUCGAAGAGGGUACGUAGGCAACUCACGACACGAAUUCAGUCUCCUCCCACCAACAGAACUCAAAGUAGACACACCGCAACACCCGAGGAACAGCAGCUCGAUAAUACCAAAAAUUGUUUUCCUUCACUAAUUUGUAACGAAACAGCAUCCAAUAUCUUAACAAAUACAAUCCCUGGACGUUUGAGCACAACAGAUUUCUCGUACCAGGAAAUCGCAUAAAAUUCGCAGUUGACCAAAAACCAGGACCCUGAUCAAGUCCUCGGUCGCGGCCAACUCCGCCAACAAGCGUGACAAAACUAAUAAACAAAAUCUAUUGUUACAUCGAAACUGUCGAUAAGAGUAUUUACAAAACUCGACACAUGCCUCCAAAAGGUCAGCCUCGCACGAAACAUAAAGUGGCUACACACAAAUCGGGACUCACGAUCCUUUCUUUAUUAAAAUAAAAGAAAUAUUAAUAAAGUAACAAAAGCAAGAAAAAAAACAAAAGAAAAACUUCCAAAAAUCUAUUCUUCGAUGUCAAAUUCAC
rnacentral:lncRNA from 1 species